UGGUUUUCACAUGAUCUCAUCCUUGGGGUCUCAAUCUUCUGUGAUGCUUCCCAUUUCUCAGCUAAACCAUCGCCUUCUAACAUCUUUAGUACUUCAGACAUCUUUGGGCGGUGGGAAGGAUUAAAUUGAGUACAUAAAAGAGCAACUUGAACCAUUUCUUCCAAUUCAAUCCUGUCAAAAUUUCCCUUAAGAUCCUUAUCCACUAGUAGAUUUAACUUGCCCUCUUGAUGGAGCUUCUUCACCGAAUCAAGCAUGACACCCUUCUGGUUAGCUGCUCUUCCAAAAUCCAUAGCCUUCUGACCUGUGAU
rnacentral:misc_RNA from 1 species